rnacentral:rRNA from 1 species
UACAGAGGGGGCAAGCGUUGUUCGGAAUUACUGGGCGUAAAGGGCGCGUAGGCGGCCUUCUAAGUCGAACGUGAAAUCCCCGGGCUCAACCCGGGAACUGCGUCCGAUACUGGAAGGCUUGAAUCCGGGAGAGGGAUGCGGAAUUCCAGGUGUAGCGGUGAAAUGCGUAGAUAUCUGGAAGGAACACCGGUGGCGAAGGCGGCAUCCUGGACCGGCAUUGACGCUGAGGCGCGAAAGCCAGGGGAGC